GACCUCACCAAUCCUUCCUGGCCACUGCUAUUCCUUGCCUCACAUGCCUUCAUUUGUUGAUCCACACACUCAGUUAACUGAUGCUUAUUGAGCAACUCCUGUGUGCCAUGGUGACUGCUCCUUUCAGAUCCUCUUCACCCAUGGUCCCAGCUCCUGUCAGACAAGUUCCUACAAAAGUUCCAGCUUCUUCCAGGAAUUACUGACUCUAAAUUCUGGUAUAGUGUGAGAAAUUAAGUGGAGUUUACCAUAACAGUCCGCCUCUGUCACCUGCUUUAUUUUUUUGGUUUGCAGUAGUCUCAAUGUAAAGCCUCUUGCUAGGUUAAUUACUUAACUAAAGGAUGCAUUCCUAAUGCAUAUCUCUCAAGGAGACCUCUGCCUCUAACUUUAGCUGUUCACUUUCAAAAAGUCUCUUAUGACAGCCAUUAUCUUCUACAUACAAAUUACAAUAAUAAUAA